UGUGGUGAUACUGGAAGUCAGUGUGGAAGUCUAAUUUCUUUUUUCACUAUUCAGGUUCAGUAGACUGGAUUCAUGUUUGGUUUCAUGGUUUCAGCUUUUACCUGCUGAGCCAUCUUGCCAGCCCUCAAACAGCAAUUUUAAAAAUCAAAUGUUUUACUAUAACAGUCAAAGGAUACCGAUUUGAUACUUACAUGAUACGGAAUGAUGGUGGUAAAAUAAGGUUUUCUGUGAUGUGAUAUUAUUUUUUUUUAAGAGCGGGAAACUGUUAAGCACAGUAACAACACUGCAGUUCAUAGCAUCCAGGAGUCUUGAAUCCGAACCCAGGUGUUUCUGGGCUGCGGCUGUGAUGGCCUGCACUGUGCCAAGUGUGCGGAUUACGUGGUGUGAUGUGGGCAGGCGCUGCCAGGGCCUCUCAGAAUCAUCUCAAGCUUGAUUUUGAACUAAUGACUGUCUGUGUGUGUCGCUUCAGGACCUUCCCUGUCAGCAGAUCCCCAGCACCUGCCUCCGGUGUGUGCUGUCACGUGGGGCUGUGGCCCACAGUUCAGGAGGCUGUGCCAAUGUGAAAAUUCCUUAAAAACAACCCACACUGGAAACAUAACCCAGGGAUUUCCCUUUCUUUCCCAACGCUACUGUGAUGAGGCCGAGGGAAACUUUCCUCUGGAUCCUAAGGAUAGCACACAUCCCCACCCCACCCUACUUUAGAAUUUAUUAGCCAGGCAAAAUAAAGGGUUUUUUUUUUGACAUAAAAUUGGGCUAAUUAGAGUGAUAGUGUGGGUAAACUCUUGUGAUGAAAAGACACUAGCGUAUCAUUGAUGUAAUUACCGACUUUGAGCUAUGUGAUUCAUUUUGUUACAGACAUUAAUUUUCAUAAUGCUCUAUAAUUAGGCCAGGCGUUAUUUUCAUCCUCACUUGUCCUUCCCCCGAAUGCUGAAUAACAGGUUAAACUCUGAAUCUACAUUUACUCUCCACCCCAGGGUAAUGCGGUGGAUUGUCCUGUCCACUGGCUGCCCAGGGGCAGCAAGGCUUGAGUGGGGGUGGAGGAUAAAUGCAGAUUAAUAAUCUAAGAAGGAAAGCCCCUGCAAUUUUUAUUGAUAAAAUGUUCUGUACAGUUGUCUUUGACUAUUCUGCUCGGAACACUAAUGAGAGUAGCCUCAUUGGCUAUGAAUUUGGAAACAGUUUAGACUGUUCAGCAGCAGGCGGUCACACUGCUCUGGGUUUGUGCUCAUCUGUUGGGGUAGGCGCUUGCUUCCUGUACAUGGUCUCCACUUCCUAUAAACACCACACUACCAGACAGCUGAGCGCCGUCAGUUUUGAUCAAAGUUGUAAUUCGUGACCAUCUGAGUAAGGUGACGGCCAUGGGGUAGGUGAAAGGUGUGGGCCUGGGUAAGUAAGUUUCCAGCAGGUAGAUUUGGCUUUGCCAGGGGAAAGGGAUAGUUCACCCACGGAAGGACAAAGGGUCUCUGUGUCAGGGACUAAUGGGGCACAGGGACAAGAGAUACUCUGC
rnacentral:lncRNA from 1 species